AUGACAGUGAAUGUCUCUUCAAUAAAAUAUAUAUAUAUAUAUAUAUAUAUAUAUAUAUAUAUAUAUAUAUAUAUAUAUAUAUAUAUAUAUAUAUAUAUAUAUAUAUAUAUAUAUGUGUUAUUAUCAGCUGCUGUUUGGUUAUUAUUGCUUUGUAUUUGUUGUGACUGUUAACUCCACUGUAAAUGUAGUUGCUACUUUUAUUGUUUAGUUCAGUUUAUGAUUUGUCAUGAUACAUAUUAAUGUUACUAGGAUUAAAAAAGUGGCUUUACAAAUGUAGGUAAACAUUUACACAAGUUAGUAAUGUCCUAUACACCACUGUUAUUUUGACUUUGGUAGUAAAAUAAAUCUCCAGGAUGUAUUUAAAAUAAUGUAGGUGAAUGUGGAUGUGAUCCAAAAAUUGGGUUUGGUUUCAUUUUAAUGCAAAAUAAUUAAACCUUUAGCAGGAGGACCUGAUGUGUGAGUAACACACUGAAUCCCCGUCAGCUCCACUGACCUCUGAGACUGACCUCUGAGACUGACCUCUGACCUCCUUACAUGAUGCCCCUUUAGUCUACCAGUUUCUGCCUGUCUGACCACACAGACACAAAUCAUUAGAAUAAAAUGGUGAUGUGCAUUAAACCUCAUAAUAAAAAAACACAGACACACCAUCUGUAUGUACAUUCAAAACUUUAUUAUGGAAUACAGUGUAGAAAGCGUUUUCCAAGUCAAUGCAAAUGGCCUGCACAAUAUUACACAGUGGAAAACAAAACCAAUAUAUAAUCCACAGAAAAACGAUAGAAAGAAAAUCCUGCUUCCUCUUCUACUCUACUGCCCUCUGUUGGGCUUCUAAUGAGCACCCUCUGAAAACCAAACACCCACCCAGCUGCAGCCUCCGUAUGUACAUUAUAUAUACAGACUGCCUGCCUGGCUGGCUAUCCAUCUGGAACUGCAAGUCAUUUCCUCUCUACCUUGCCCUCCUUCCUCCUCCUCCUCCUCUCAGCACUCCUGUUCUAUCAGCAGACAGCAAAAUGAUUACAAAAUCAAAAAAAAAAAAAGAAAAGUAGACGGCGUCACCUUACAACUGGACGAAACACCAGACUGAAAAUGACAAAACACAUACAGGCAGAGAUAAUCCUAACCCAUCCCCCAUACUGGAUUCCUCCUAGUUUUCCCUUCCCGCUCUCUGUAACCUUCACGCCCACAACAUGCCCUUUUCGACAAACACAACGACAUGAUCAAACAUAAUAAAAAUUUAAAAAAGAAGCAAAAAUGAAAGGGGGUGAUUUUCAACACAAUAUAUUUCAGUUGAUGAGAAUAAUGUACAAACAGAGAUGAAUCCCCCCUCCUGGAGCUUCAGGAACGUCGCAUAAAAAUAAAAAUGACAAGAAAUGAGGAACACACUUAAAUUCUAAAAUCACAGAUCUCUUUUAAAUGUGUAUUUUACAUGAUAUCAAAGCAGAGCCCGUUCAUCUAGACUUAUAUAUAUUUUUCAUUGUUUGAAGUCACGUGAUCACGAGAAGAUACUAAAUGUACAAUCUUGCUAGAAUGACAAUCUAUACGUGAGAAAGGAUCUCGAGAGAGAGCAGCGAUAAGAUCUUGGUUUUUUUUUUUUUUCUUCCAAAUCCGGUUGUCAUUGUUGUCAUGCACUACAUAGGAACAGCUAAGACUUCAGCAUUACGUCAGUAACAUUACACGCAAUUUAAAAAAAGGGACUUUACAUCAGUUGACCUGGUUGGUUUUUUUUCUCCAUUUUCACUCUUUUUUGAAAAACAAAACUGGAAACAAAAAGAGAAAAACUCCAAAGUAAAAACAGCUCGUCAUUCGGAAUACAUAAUUACUACCAUCGUCGUCAACAUAUUCAUUAUCAUCAGCGUCUCCAGAUAUCCUUUAAGAGCCUUGUGUGACUUAGCACAGCCCAGCUGUCGUAAGAAUGCGCAAAAGAAAAAGAGGAUGGAUGGAGGGAGGGAUGGGGGUGGAGGAGGGGAGGGAGGGGAGGCUUAUACUCCAGUGUUGACUGUAGAGUGAGUGCAGUAGUGGUGCAGUUGGUGGGGAAGCACUGGGCUUCAUUUAUAAAAAGGUCACGUUGCUUGAUUUUCAUUCUAUAUUCAUUACAAAGAAUAUGCUAGAAACAAACGAAUACGUCCACAUGUCGAGUCAUGAUUUAAAUUGAUUUUGAUGAUACUGCAACUCAAUUUCUGUAAAUGAAGCCCAGGUCAGCGCGCGCCGGAAAUCCUACUGAUCAGUGGUCAGAUUUGCGUACACAAGUCCACACCUAAAACCAUCCCAAGCCAAAAAAAAAAAAACCCCAACUAUACACUGGCCCUGAAUCAGUGUGGAGAGAGCACGCUUCUUUCCCCCAGAGUGGGUUUGUUUCGAUGCACUGGGCGGGGCCUUUUUGACAUACAUCAGCAGGCCCAGGGGUGGAGCGACGUAUAGAAAAACGCCUUCCUUUAAUUAAAAGGCGCCUUGCUCCGAUAAAGUUAACAAACUUGGUGCAAACCGGCUCGGCCACGGUGUCCGCCCAG
rnacentral:lncRNA from 15 species